CAAGGGUAACAUAGGAAAACACCUCCUCAAAUUUAAAUCUCCUCUCUCCUUCGAGAAGAAUCUUACGAGCUCGAGAAAACCCUCAAAAACUCCCUCUCUGGUCUUAACUAAAAGAGAAAAAAAAAUGAGCCGAGCAAGUCGAACACUUUACGUCGGGAAUCUUCCUGGCGAUAUUCGCCUGAGGGAAGUUGAAGAUUUGUUUUAUAAGUAUGGGCCCAUUGUUGACAUUGAUUUGAAAAUCCCGCCAAGGCCUCCGGGCUAUGCUUUUGUUGAGUUUGAAGAAGCUCGCGAUGCUGAAGAUGCAAUUCGUGGCCGGGAUGGAUAUAAUUUUGAUGGGUGUAGAUUACGAGUUGAGCUUGCCCAUGGUGGGCGAAGACAUUCAUCACCAGUGGACCAUUAUAGCAGUUACAGUGGUAGCAGUGGUAGCCGUGGGCCUUCCAAGCGCUCUGACUAUCGUGUGUUAGUGACUGGAUUGCCUUCUUCUGCUUCAUGGCAAGACCUAAAGGAUCAUAUGCGUCGAGCCGGUGAUGUCUGCUUUUCUCAAGUCUUUCGUGAUCGUGGUGGCAUGACAGGAAUUGUGGACUACACAAACUAUGAUGACAUGAAAUAUGCUAUCAAGAAGCUCGAUGACUCUGAGUUCCGGAAUGCAUUUUCAAGGGCAUAUGUUCGGGUGAGGGAGUAUGAUUCUAGGAGGAGUUACUCUAGGAGCCCCAGUCGCAGUUCAUACGUGUCAAGAAGUCGGAGUCGAAGUCGCAGUGGAGGCUAUAGUGACAGGAGCUGGAGCAAGUCGCCUAGGGCAAAACAUUCACGGCGUUCUCGAUCUGUAUCUGUUUCCUCUCGCUCUCAUGCAGGAUCAUCUCCACGAUCUUUUUCGAGCGACCUGACCACCUGGGGAUUGGAUGUUAAGGACUUGAUGGGAUGUGGUGGUCAUAUGCUUGCACCUCUUUGCUUGUUUUGAGGUAAUGCUGUUUUUGUUGAUGGGCACCUCUGGAAAAUCCUCAUAAUCUCGUAAUGCUAUUAAGUUGGUUCCUAAUAAUCUCACAAUGCUAUUAAGUUGGUGUGUCAAUUAGCAUUAGAAUUGAUGAAGCUUGGAUGGGAUUAUGAUUUUAAAGCUGGAUUACUGUGAAGUAAGCACUAUCGGUGCCACCUGUCAUCAGUGGUACAAAGAAACUUGAAACUGCUUCGACAUUACCCUUAACCUGUGUUUGGUAUUCUCCUUGGAUUUGGUGAUACCGACAGGGAGGAUGUAGCUCUUCUUUCUUCUGGUAUGGAUGGGGAAGAUGCCUUUUCAUUUGGAAUAUUGUAAUGGUGCUAUACUGUUCUUUUUUUCUGUUUUUCUCUCUACGCAUUGUUUUAAAUCCUCAUUACCUGCUGGGAAAAGAGUUAAACAAAUAUUGAGGUAGCAUUCAUCAGAUAGUGAAUUUGGUUCCCUUUUUUUUUUUUAGCUGCUUCUAAAGAGUAGUGUUACUUUUCUGUUUUAUGGAAAAUUUUGCAGGUCCCUUUCAAGAUCAAGAUCUCCUCUUGCUUCUCCUCCUCGCAGAAGACAUGGCCACAGAACCCCAAGCAUAAGUCCUGGUCGCGUAUCCCGUUCGCCUUCUGUGAGGUCUGAUCGAAGCAGUUCGGUGGACUCAGAUCGUUGAUGAGAUCCUGUUCUCUUGGUCGUGGAAUGUUACUACUUUUGUAGUGAACUAGACACCUAUAAAGCUAGACAUGACUCACGUAUACAUUUAUAUUUGGACUAUUGACCACGAGAUUAUUCUCAACUUAUCAAUCUUUAUAUCGAGAUUUAACGGCAUUCGCUAGUGCUUUGUAUCUUUUGGACUCCAGGAUGUGCCUGUAGUGGUGUAGUGGGAAGUUUCCAACUUGUUUGUGGAAGCUACUUUGUUAGUUGUAAGUAAGCCCACAUAGAAAAGCAACUGCCUAGCGAAUCCAGCACUGUUUUUCAGCGUAUUUGUGAAUCAAGGUAUGUCUAGCAGGUGUUUGGGAA